rnacentral:rRNA from 1 species
UAAGGAAUAUUGGUCAAUGGACGCAAGUCUGAACCAGCCAUGCCGCGUGGAGGAUGAAGGUCCUCUGGAUUGUAAACUUCUUUUAUCUGGGACGAAAAAAGGUUUUUCUAGACCGACUGACGGUACCAGAUGAAUAAGCACCGGCUAACUCCGUGCCAGCAGCCGCGGUAAUACGGAGGGUGCAAGCGUUAUCCGGAUUCACUGGGUUUAAAGGGUGCGUAGGUGGAUUAGUAAGUCAGUGGUGAAAUCUCUGGGCUUAACCCGGAAACUGCCAUUGAUACUAUUAGUCUUGAAUACCGUGGAGGUCAGCGGAAUAUGUCAUGUAGCGGUGAAAUGCUUAGAUAUGACAUAGAACACCAAUUGCGAAGGCAGCUGGCUACACGAAUAUUGACACUCAGGCACGAAAGCGUGGGGAUCAAACAG